rnacentral:lncRNA from 1 species
AGCAGCUGUAAAUAACACAGUGCUAUUCGAGCCAAUUGCUCUGAACCGGGUGAUAUGAUCAUAUUCUUUUUAACGACUUUCUCUGAGGUAUGAGUUGAGAUUUUUCUCCUUCAUCCUCAUGCUGUAUAAUCUGGAUUUAUGUUCAACGUGACCGUUGAGCCUUCACAAUGAAUUUGUCCUGUGAAAAGAUCAGUUGAUACGGAGCCUGGAUCCCAGAUUCUCACCACAGAGUGGGCGCUCAUUAUUUGCACGUCAGCAUCUAAGUCAUCAAUCUCUAGCAGCCACACUCACCCAGAUGAAGCUCCAAACCCAGGGCAUGAAUCUGAAGGCAUAUUGAGCUGAAACAGCUACGUCAUUUUUUAACUGUGAGGGGAGAAUCUGAGAAUCUGAGAAGAUGAGAAUGGAGCCAAGAUAGCAUAAAGUGGAUCCAAGAAAUGGAGAGAAAGAAAGUGGCAAAGCUCAUGAUUUCUCUUCUUUACUGAGUACAUAGAAACUGCUAUACACACUUUGUCAGGAAUAUUGAGUGACAUAGAUGAGCACAUUAAUGGAGAGGGAGAGGUAAGAACAAUGUAUUACAAUGAGAUGAAUUUCUUGACUAAAAUGACAUAUCUGAAUAUUUCUAUUAUUUUUCAAUUUUUAUGCCAAUUUCUAUUUGACAAUGUCGUACUAGCAUUAUAGUUUUGAAAAGUCAGGGCUUUGAAAUUAAUAUAUUUUAGUUUUUAAUCCACACUAGCUGGUUCACAUUAAAAGUGAUUAAGCCUUUUUUUAGCCUCAAGUUUCUCUUCUGUAAAAUAAGGACAAAAACACAGCAUUCUUAAAAUUAUUGAAAAUCAUAAGGUAAAUGAACAGCUUAAAAUCAAACAGACUUUGGAGCCAAAUAAGCGCUAAGUAAGCGGAACUUGUAAGAUAGACAGUCUACCUCUGUUCAAAUUCUUGGUGGUGAAUUAUCCACCACCAGAAAAGGCAGUGCACAUCCCAUUUUUUCAGGUCUUUAUGCUGUGUUGACUUGACUGUGCUGACUUGACUGUGCUACAGCCCAUAGCUUUUCAAUCAAACACUGAUCUAUGUGUUUCUAGGAGGUUAUUUUGCAGAUGCGAUUAUGGCCCAUAAUCAGCUGCUUUCAGAUAAAUUAUCCUAUGUAACCUAGGUGGGCCUGUUUCAAUCCAGGGAAAGGCCUUAAAAGCAGAGCUGAUUGAGACUUUCCUCAUGAAGAAAUUCCUGUAGACAGCAGGCAACAUCAGCUCCUAACCAGGGGUUCCAGCCUGCCCUUCCCGACUGCCUGUCAUAUGGAUUUUGAUUGCCUAACCAAUCCCCACAGUUGCAUAGGCCAAUUCUUUACAAUGAAUCUUUGAAUAUAUAUAUCUCCUACUGAUUCUGUAUCUUUGCCUGUACCUUGACUAAUACAAGGCCCAAGCAUGAAUUCAUUCAGCAAAUAGGAAAAGUUUUCUGUAUACUAAGAAUUGUUCUAGUUACCAAGGAUGCUAUAGAGAACAAACUAGAUAUUGCCCUGAUCAUCAUUUGAACUAAU